rnacentral:rRNA from 1 species
GACGAACGCUGGCGGCGUGCUUAACACAUGCAAGUCGAACGGUAAGGCCCUUCGGGGUACACGAGUGGCGAACGGGUGAGUAACACGUGGGUGAUCCGCCCUGCACUUCGGGAUAAGCCUGGGAAACUGGGUCUAAUACCGGAUAGGACCCUGGGAUGCAUGUCCUGGGGUGGAAAGCUUUUGCGGUGUGGGAUGGGCCCGCGGCCUAUCAGCUUGUUGGUGGGGUGAUGGCCUACCAAGGCGACGACGGGUAGCCGGCCUGAGAGGGUGACCGGCCACACUGGGACUGAGAUACGGCCCAGACGCCUACGGGGGGCAGCAGUGGGGAAUAUUGCACAAUGGGCGCAAGCCUGAUGCAGCGACGCCGCGUGAGGGAUGACGGCCUUCGGGUUGUAAACCUCUUUCAGCACCGACGAAGCGCAAGUGACGGUAGGUGCAGAAGAAGGACCGGCCAACUACGUGCCAGCCGCCGCCGUAA